UCGUCAGAUGCUCUCGCAAAGUCUUUCUAUGGUUCUCACUCUGGAAUAUUGGCAGUUGACGAGAAAUCAAUGUUGGAGAUCUUAGUAAAAUGGCAACCAGAACACUUGUCAACUUUUAGGAAUGAAACUUCUUGCAUCUUUUUGAAGGAUGAACGCUUCCAGUUUGAGAAAUGGGAAGAAAUUCUUCUUAAAUUUCUAAAAAGGGAAUUUAUGCGUUUUAAGGAUGCUGUGGUGCAAUGGACCAUGCAUCCUUGGGAAAGAGAUGCUCGCAUGGCAAGGAAGGCUUUGAAAAGAGGCAGG